AAUUAAGGAUGUGCAGGAAGCUGUCCCGAGUAACUCAUUAAAGCCCAUUGAACCACUUUGAGCCGAAAUGAAGCCCCAUUCCUUUAAGAACUAUCGCGGCGUCUAGCACGAAAUUAGGGUUUUCCGGUCCAUUUAGCUAUCUAUAAAAUCGGGGCACCAUCUCUCACACUCGUCUGCUCCGUCUGUUCAAUUGGGUAAGGCUUUUUGUGUUCAAUUCUAAUUCUGACCGCUCUGUACGUGUUUGAGUGCUUUUCAUUCUAUGUUUUUGUUGAAAAGAAAGCCAAUUUGCAGAGCAAGUGCGUGUAUUAUGUAAAAAUGACGAAACUUGCAUUGAAGGUUGGCGAAAAGAAUUGCGAUUCUCCGUGCCUAUCAGAUUCACUUUGUUUUGAUUAUGGCCUCGAACAAGUCGCUACAUGUUCUAGAUUUUUCUUUUUCUUUUGAUUGAUUAUUUUCAUUGCUAUUUUGUAGGGUUUUUCAAUUUUUGAAUUCAUCGAAGUUAACGUAUUUGGAUGUGAGUUAUGAAUGAGCGAAGCUCUUUAAAUCCGUAUACUAUGAUGAUUUGGUUUUCUAAACUUGUGUUCUAAUUUGAUAAAGUUUAAAUAUAUGGUUAUUGAAUUGUGAUAAGUGUGAAAUAAAUGGUUAUUUUUAAAUCUAGUUUAUUUAGACUGGAAAAUAUGGUCAUCUAUAAAGCAAACUGGUUUUUAUGUACCAAGAUUGUGUCGGAAGAUGACUAAAUUCAUCUUUUGUCCUCCAUUCCGUUAAAACACAUGAAAUCUUGUGUUCAUGUAGUAUUAUAACAUCGGGGAUACAUAUUUUAUUUUAUUUUAAUGUUCGAUAUGCUCUUUGCAAGACGUUAAUAAUUCAAAAUGAUAGGAAAUAGAAGUUAAGGAAUAAUGGAAUGAAAAAUUGAAAUCAAACUUGUUUGAUAACUGGUAAUAAAAUUCAGUUUUCCAUUUUUGUUGAUUUUCAUCGAAUAUGACUCUGCCUCCUUUCUUACUCUUAAGCUUUCGAACAUAUAUUUAAGCACCUGUGUGGAGUUGGAUGCGUUGUUCAUAGUGUGUUUUCAUAGUCUUUUUUAGGAAUGCCAUUAAACAAUCUAUUUUCGUUAUGAUACAUGUGAUUUAACUAAGCUUUUGUUCAUAUCCAAUCUAAAUUUUAGUAAGAGUUCUGUCGUAUUUCCUACUAUAUGGGCGAACAACAAGAAUCAACAUAUUCCUCAAAACAUCUUUUGAUCCUUCAUAUGUUGAUUCCUUACUCGAUGAAUGCUUAAUAACGUAACACUCUUAUGUGUCAUAUCUAAAGAUGAAUAUGACAUGUUAAAAGAGAUAUGUAGUAUGCCAAUAUAUGACUUGUUCAUGAUGCUACAACUUUAUAUAAUAUAUUAAAAAUAUUUAUAACAUANUCAUGAUGCUACAACUUUAUAUAAUAUAUUAAAAAUAUUUAUAACAUAGACAUCAAUCACAAAAACAGAAACAUCUCAAAGAUUUUGUAUUUAUAUUUAUUAUCAUCAAGAUGCUAUCUACUGUGUCAUGUUCUAAGAACUCAUCUAAAAUUUGCUUGUCAUGAGUUUGAUUUUUAGCCUAUGAAGUUUGAUAUUUAAAAUUUGUUUAAUAGGAUGAGAUUUAUAAAGCAUUCUAUGUAUAUGAUAUCCUCUUUUGAUACAGUUUUGGUUGUAAUUAGGAUUUUUGAAAGAAAUCUAAAUUGAGUAAAUUGUUAUCAAAUGAGUAAACUCGUCAAAGAAACGCUAAAUAGCAUUAUUUUUCAGUUUAGUAUUUGAACGUAAACUAUACUUAGGAUAAAACUAGUUAAACUUAAUUAAACUUGAUUUAUUACAUUCGAAAGCUAAUUUAUUUUUUGGGUUGUUCUGAUAUCUCAGAAAAUAGUUUAGAGGAAGAAUUAAAGAUUUUAUUUUUUGGUUAGAGGAAAGUUGAAGAUCCAAUUACUUGCUUAUUGUGAAAAUUGGGCCAAACAGAAAGCCCAUACCAUUAAACACUGAAACAUAAACCAUUCUCUGCACAAAUUAAGAGUGAAGCAACGACAAUGAAACCCGUUUCUCAUAAAUGGGGUUACAUUCGAAUCAUGGCCGGUACAACCCUCGGAGGCAUCCUCGGAUUCUACGUUAUGCACCGAUUCUACGUUAUGCACCGUGUUGAAUCUAACUACAAGGUUAGCAUACCUUCACUCUCUUCUUUUAAAGAUUUAUGAAGAUCCUUUGAAGACUUAUUUUUGUUAUGAAAAGUUUUUGUAAUAAUUGUAGUUUAAUUGUUUAGGACUUAGAUUUGUAGUAGAUUUUGAUUUUUGUACCUUUAUAUUUUGUAUUUGUUGUUUAGAAUCAAAACUUCCCUAUUUUAAUCGAUUAAUCCUUGAUAUAAUCGAUUAAAAUCGCUGCAGAAACCAAAACCCAAUAAACUUUGGAAUAAUCGAUUAAAGCAAGUUUUAAUCGAUUAGUUAAUCGAUUAAUCCUGAGAAUAAUCGAUUAAUACUAGUCGUUGGAGGUUUCUGAUUUGAAAAACUAGCCGUUGUACUUAUUUUAAUCUAUUAACACUAAUAUUAAUCGAUUAAAUGCGUUAAAUGGCCAGUUUCGUAUAAUGGAAGAGUUUUUGCUUGAGUCUAUUUAUAAGUUUUCUUUAUCCAUCAACAACAACUCUUCCCUUUUGCUAAAACACUCAGUGAGGAGUGUGUGCUCUUGCUCAGCUAAGGAAACUCUUGUCUGUGGUGCUGGUGUAUUGCUACCACAGUGACGGAGGACUGGUUCAUCCUUGAUGCGUCUGAGGAGGUGUGUGGAAGAGGAUCAUCCUUCGUGAAGUAUUCGGAGGAGGUGUCUCAUCCUUUGUGAAGACUCAAAGGAGGUGCAAGUUCAUCUCUUGUGGUAUCAAGAGAGGUGGUUUUUAAACUCUUACAAAUUUUUUCUUUGUGAUUGUAAUUUGUAAUUGUUUUGUGAUUAGUGAACUGUUUAUCUUGGUUUGAGAUAAGCGAGUGGACGUAGAAUUGGUAAGAUCCGAACCAGUAUAAAAUUAUAUGUGCAAAUUUCUCUCAACCUUACUCUUUUAUUUAUAUUUAUUAUUUGUGUAGUAAGAUAAAUUGAGAUGAAAUUAAAGACACACAUUUAUAUUAAAACCCCUAUUGGUUUGUUAUUCCAUGCUAACAAUUCCGCUGCAGGCCAUUCUAACAAUAUAUUAUGUUUUAAAUUUAUUAUUAUUAAAAAAAUAGAUUCAAAAGAAAAAUAAAGUUUGUGUGUACUCACGGGUCAAGAUACUACUCCUCCUAAAAACGUUUCCCGUGGAACACCACAAUCCAUCAUCAACUCCAUCCUCUCACAAACACAUCCCAUCUUCUACCAACCUUGGGGAAAGGUUUAUGUCCAACAUGGCGUAUUGAUAAAAACCCAC
rnacentral:lncRNA from 1 species